rnacentral:rRNA from 1 species
UUGCCGAAAGAUCGGCCCGCGUCGGAUUAGCUAGUUGGUAGGGUAAAAGCCUACCAAGGCGACGAUCCGUAGCUGGUCUGAGAGGAUGACCAGCCACACUGGGACUGAGACACGGCCCAG